UAAAUGGUCUUGGACGUCUUUUCCAACAUUAAUCAUUCUAUGAUUCUCCUGGACCGUGUCAACAAACUUCACUUCUUAAUCAAGGGGCAUGGGAGCAUGACUACAGAGUGUUUUGAUACCUAAAGUAGUUUGACAAGGAGACUGAAAUAUGUUAUCUACAUGUAAAGUAUUCCCUUUUUUCUCGAAUAAUGGAAGUGGCUAGGGAAACUGGAUGCCCGGAGUUCUGAGAAAUACUGACAAAAUUAAUGGUGACCAUAAGAUUAGGCGCAAAAGCCACUUUAUUGCCACUGAGAGUGCAAGGUGUGAUAUUUCUGGGAAGGGGCUAGAAGUGUUACCAGGGAUUCCCACUGUAAGUAAGUGCCUGGCGAAAACAAAACCAUACCUUUGCUGAAUAUUAAAAUAGCAUCCUCAUGCAGCCAGGAUGAAGCAUGCUCCUGCAUGGGAGGUGAGGAGAAACCUGGGUACUAUUUAGGUCAGAAUGUAACUCCACUGAAGCCAGGGAGCUAUUCACAGGAAUUUCAUGGCUAACAGCAAAGAUUCUGUUGUAAAACUGGACCUUAGCUUUUAUUCAGUUCCCUGUAAAUGCUCUGUUCGAUUCUCAGUAACUGUUCCUGAUAUUGACCAUUCCUUAACAUCCCCUUAGGUAUUUACCGUGUAAUGUACAUCUGGAGAAAAUUUUCAUGUAACUGAAUAUUUAUCCUGAGACUUGUCAGUGAUUAAUGUGCAUUUAAUCUCCUACAUAUGUGAUGAAACUUGAAGGUGCAACUACCUGAAUACUGAAUGAUGUCCUUGGAAUUUGGCUUUCUUUCUCCCACUUCUUUUCCUCACUAUUUUAAGGACAUUUUCCCCAAAGAAAAGCUCAGCUGAGCUGUCUGCCUGGGUCAUGCAGUGCCCCAGCCCUUGUGUGAGCACUGACCAGGAGCCGACCCCCCUCCCUGUGAAAUCUCCCCUGUGUGUGAGUCAUCAGGCAGCAAACUUGGCAGUGUUUAUUCUCCCUGCCUUGUGUGAUGAGGGGGAUGACGUGUGCUGCAGAUCUCGGAGCCUCUAAUGUAAUUUAAACCCGCUUCUAACAAAGAACAGAGAGUAAUAUCAAACUUCAUUUCAGUGUACUAAAGGGAAGAGGUGCUGUCUGUGUGCUAUACGGCAGAUAAUGAAUGUGCAGUGGGGAAUCUCCAGCCCAUGGCACCCACACCACCUCGUACUGAACAAAAAGAGGAGGGACAAAGCUGCAAACUCCUACCAGGUUCAGGUCACAGAUUCGGAUGUUGUGCAUCGCUAGAUCUAUUCCUGGCUUUGCAGUGGAUGGGCAGCGUGACGUUGAGCAAGGAGCACAGCCACAUCUGCCAGCCUCUUACUCAGCCCUGUGAGCAGUCACACCUGACACUGAUUUUGCCAUGGGAGUAAUGAAAAGAUGAACACCCUAAUUUUCAUUCAAUACUCAGGAGUUCCUCAGGCAGAGACCUCAAUGAACACAAGAGAGGAGGAAGAGGAGGAGAGAGAUGGGACGUGGCUCUGGAGCAAAUCCUCCUCAGCCCUGCCCUGCAGUAACACCACACUGAGCAGCACAGGCUCACAGGUUCUUCUGCCAGAAACUGGAAAUGACCCCAAAGCAUCAUCAAGUGGGAAAUCACAGCAUACCUACUGCUGUGAUAACUGAGCACCUGUCAAGAUACUAUAUUGCUAGUCAUGGAAAUGGAAGUCAUCUCAGAUUUAUCAACAGAGAAGCUGACAUUGCUGCCUCGCAAGUUUCUCAGCUUUUGUGCCUCAACCUUGACCCUCAAGGAUCUACUUCUCAAGGCAAGAAAGCAGCAAAUUCUCCUCACGGACUUAAUCACUGUCUCCUCUGCUAUGGGUUCUGAUUCAUGAGGUGGUAGAGAUCUCUUUAACCAAACCAGAUCACCUGGAAGUACUCACUGCUAUAGGACGCAGAGUGCACACUUGCCACAAGCUGACUUCAGCAUUCCAGGUCUCAGUAAUACCCACAGUGAAGUGGAAAACUGCUCCUUGCUUGUGACCACAAGUGGAUCACUGAUGCUAAUGGGCACCUUUCAGACAUUAAGGCUCUGGCUGUAUUUGAACUCCAAGACAUUCUUCAUACCCUCAUUGUCCUUUGAGCUCACAAAGGAUGCUCACAAUCUUGCAAAAAAGCCGUGCUCCAAAGUCAUCAAGUGAUAUUAGAUUGUGUCUCAAAACCACUAGAGGUUCCCUCCAUUUCCCAGAAGGUGUCCCGGAGCUGGAGCCAAUUCAGCUGCCAAGAUGCUGCCUUUCUCACCUGCUGAUUGCAAUUAGCCACUGCCAGCUGGGACCUGGUGUGCCACUGAAGAACUAACAAGAAGCAGAGACCAGCAUGAUGCCUCGACAGCAUAUACACAGUGAAUAAAUAAGAAAUGCUGCACUGUAUCCCUGAAGUUGCUUCACCACAAAAGCAAUUCCUAUGUCCCUACAUGCAUGUCAGAGAUUCAGCUUGCUUCUCAUGCUCUUACCUCAUGCUGUCACAUACUUGCCAGGAAUGAAACACGGGGAAAUGAAGGUUACUGAUGGUAAAAACAAACCCAGCUGUGGUCUUGUUAAGAAAUCUUUUGGCUCACCUCUAUCCUCAGGCAGCACCCAUCAUCACAGGGGAGAGGUCACCUCUGAUUAUGGUGGUAGCCUAAACUGAGAGGAGGGAUUCUCUCCUCCUCGGGCACUGCUCAGCACUUGCCUCGCCGUCUGGAUCUCUGGGGCUUCAGAGGGGAUGGUGGCGCUCCUCCCUCCCUGGGGCCCAGCCUCAGAACCCAGGAGUUGCAAAUUUCCUCCAUAAUGAGCUUCUGCAAAUUUGAAGUACUAAUUUGAGAGGUUCCAGGAGAUUUGCAGCCAGGCAGGCUCCCAGAUAGAAAGAUAUCAUCUGCCUUUGCUUCAGACCAGCACUCCCUGGCUUAAUCCGGGCCCUGAGUGAUAGGGACAGCUGUCCUCUGUCUGGCUUCCUGUCCCAUCUCCCAGCACAACCCUAAUGCUUCUGUCUUAUACUCAGAAAAGCAUUGAAUUUGCACUAUUUCAAAAGGAUUAUGGAUUUGGGAUGCUAUAUUUUUGAAUAAUGACAAUGACAUCUGCUCAUGGAGCCUUGCUAGAUUUGAUAGCCAUAGUAAGCCUUUCCAGCUUAACCUCUCCAUAUGAGAUACCUCUAUAUAAAGCAUGUCAGAGUACGAGGCCAUUUUCCUUUCCAAUUUACCCUCUCUGGGGAUUCCUUCUUGACACAAGUGCUAUAUGAACUUACUGGGAUUAGUUCACACUUACUUCAGCAAGAAGAGAUGCCACUGCCAUGGGGAGCAUCCAGCCAGGAUCACAGACUUCUUAUACAGUGAAGGAAGGCCCUCACUGGUCCUUGUUGUGUGAGGGUUUUUUUCAGUGUGGGAUGUAAAAAAAAUAUGAUUCCACUUUCUGACUAUGGAUGCAGAGGAUUCAGGUUGCUUUUAACUUCUUUGAGACAAUGUGCUCCACUUGAGCACGUGAUCUGAUUGUGUCCACCUCCCCAUCCACCGAAUGGCUGCAUCCCAUCCUUUCAGAAUGACACACACACAGCCAAAAUCAUUCAAUGAAAAAAAGAGUUAAAAUUACAGAGCCCUGCUAUAAUGUAGAGGACACAGCUGUGGAAAAAAAUGAUCACAGAAAGGUUGACUAACGAGCACAUGCUAUGUAUGGAAAAAGUCAAGCUAUAACUUUAAUAGAAUCCUGGAAUAUCCUGAGUUGGAAAGGACCCACAAGGAUCAUCCUUUCCAACCGCUGGCUCCACACAGGACCACCUAUGAAUCAAACCAUAGUUCUGAGAACUUUCUCUAGGCCUGCAGAAGACUGUCCAAGCUCACUAGGUCUAGAGGAAUUCCUUGAAGGAGUAAGCUAUGCUACUGCCUAGCUUAAACGUUUAGGUUUAUAGAUGGAGUCUGGAGGUGUUCACAGUACUUACAGUCUAGCCUUUGCCUGUUGGUAAAAGCAUGCUGAACUCACACGUUUAGUUCUGUGGCACAGCUCUUUACUAUCUGGAAUGGUUACCACAAUAUCCUUAUUCUGGUGGCUAUGGAAAACAUGAUCGAGACUAUUCAGCAAGUCAAAUAUUUUACUGGUGAGUUCCACAUUUUUCUGGAUUGGUUCCCAGGGAAAUCACAGAGGGGUUUGGAUCCCUAUCAAUUUCAAGCACAGAAGGAUAGACCACUCUCCCCUCUCACUGGGCCAUCCAGCACUUCGGAAUGUGCUGUGAAGUUAUUUGUCCUGACAACCCUACAAGAAAGGCAUCCAUUAGUCAACAUCUUUGCCAGCUUUCCUUUCUGUGGGACACGUUGCUGCUGAUGAGUCAUAAGGACAUUGAUUUUAAAAUUUGCUUUGAACCCUAAUUGCAUUGCUGAGAUUACGUAGCGGCUCCCAGGGAUCUACUGAGUUUUUAAAUCUAGAGUUGAUGCCUCUUCUUCUGAGUUAAGUGCUACAUAAUGCAUAAAAUGUCCUGGCAAUUUUUUAUUUUUAUACUCGUUGCCUUUUGAAAAUGGCAUCUUACAUCUGGAAAAUUAGGUUAAUGUGAAAAAAAGCUUUUUGUAUUCCAACCGUAGGUUUUGUUUUAAAAAAAAUCCUGUGCAGUUGUUCAGUUGGGUGAAACAAUGCGUUAUAAUUGAAGGUUAGUAUCCAGAUUAAGUGAACAACUGAGAGAUUCCCAUCAUGACUGAUGGUGCUCAGGGCCAUGAUUUAGCGGAGGGUUGUUAGAGUUAGGGUAGUAUGGUCAGGUAGUGGUUGGACUCGAUGAUCUUUAAUGUCUUUUCCAACCUGAGCGAUUCUAUGGUUCUAUGAUUCUAUGAUUUGAGAGUCCAGCAUUCUAAGUUGCCAUAAAUCUAAAAUAAUGGUUAAAAUUAUAAAAUUAAAAAAAAAAAAAAAAAGGCAUUGGAGUGAAAAUGAGAUACGUAGUCUAGUCACCAGAGGGCAGUGGGCAUGGCCCCCAGUGCUGGAGUUCAAGGACAAUCUUGCACAGUGCUCUCAGACAUAGAGUCUGAGUUUUGGGUGGUCUUGUGUGGAGCCAGGAAUUGGACCUAAUGAUCAUUAUGAGUCCCUUCUAACUUGGGUUAUUCCAUGAUUCUAAUGCUUUGAGUCUGUGCUAGAGGCUAUUAUUAUUACUAUAAUUAUUAUUACUAUUUAUUGUCACUUUGUUUUCCCAAGUUGGACUGUCCUUAAGACACAGUUUCCUUUGACUUCAUUUUGAGUCUUUACCAAGGGAGUGCCUGGGCAGUAGGGGACACUUUGUGAAGCUGCCCAAGUCUUCCUUGAGCCCUCUCAGAAACCAAUAGGGUCUUCCUAUUGGAGAGAGCUAUGCCUAUAUGAGGCAGUGAUUCUCUCUUGCCCUAGACAGCGUGCUGCCAUCACACUCUGCCUUUCAGAGUGAGAAGGUGAGCCAUUUCUCUAGUAGGAAUCUGACAGAGGAGGAGAUGAGAGCCUCAGGAACACCUCGAUGUCCACACUUGAUGAUGAGGAUAUUCUGAGUGAACAUGAACAUAUUGAAUGGCCAUUGACUGAAUUUCUGAUUAAGAAAAUACAGUAUUCACCUGUCUCAGAAGUCAUGAAGUCAGUAAGAAACUUUCUGCCUUGGUGCUGAGACCAAGGAAAUCAAGUACUAUGUCUUUACUGCCAUAGCAGUAAGAAAUCUCACCUUCUAGCCUUACAUUCAGCCAUUUUCUUAGUAAUUUGCUAAGUCAAAAUACUAAAGAAAAAAUCCCAAGGCAUUGGUGAGGACAGCAAGAGACAGGCAGACCAUGAAACUAAGAAUAAUAUAAGAACCUGACAAGGCCUGGUCUCUCUAGCUUGUUGCAUUGCUGUUACCUGCUUCUCUUUUCCUUUAUUUUUUCCAAGUACUUCCAAGUAUAAAGCUGGUGAGAAGUGGGACCUCUUGAGAUUUAAAAGUGGGCAAGAGGAUUACAAAAUAUCACUGUUAUAUAAGUGAACGGAAAAGAAGGGAAGGGGAAGGCAAAGAAAAAGGGGAAGAAAGGAAGGGAGGAAGGGAAGAAAAUCCUAUUCCUGUUUGUCAGUUUUUAGUACAAUUUUGAACACAGUCAGAACAGUUCCUUCAUUGUGACCUACCUGUGUGAACCAGGCUGGCUUAGCUGGAUGGGCCUGAGUCUCACAGCAUCCUGCUGGGGCAUUGCUGAUUAUUUCUGACCCUGGCAGGCAAGAACCCCACAGAGCAGGUUCUCUCUUCAGGUAAACAGGAAAGGGGCAUCUUAUGGGGGAUGUCAAAGGUGCUUGAAUCCGCUGCCCUGGUUGGAUGGCAGCAACUCUUGGUUCCUUGUUCUAGAGCUUCUAAGAUUUAAAGUGCUACAUAAAUGAUAAGCAUUGUAUUCCUGGGGCUAAAAAGGGAGCCAAUCCUUUUUUUAUCCUACAACUAUAAGGUCAAGGUAAAUGUGACUGUUUAGAAACACUACAGAGCUGAAGGCCCUGGGGAAUUUUAAUGUGUUUUAUAAACUUGUUUCCAAACCAAGCUAUUAGGAAAACAAGAUAUUUCUCCAUAAAGCCUUUCUUUUUGUCUCUUUAGGGACAGUGCUGCCUGCCUUACAGUGCUUUAACUCAAUCAGAAUCAUCAUUUUUAUAAACAGGCCAUUUUUCAUGACUUGCUUGAUCAACUUGGGAAGGCAGUUUUUAAGAAGUUAUAGUCAUACACAGGAAAAAAAAAAAUCUUACUACAUCUAUUGCAGCCAGAGAUGUAAUAGAAACCAUGUCCUUUUUCUGAAGGUAAUGCAAAAGGGAAAAUACAGACUUAUGCACUUGUUUUCCCUCCGUACUCAGCUUCUCUUAUGCAACACUACAGAAAGGAACCAAGGAGCUGUUUCACAAUUAAACUGCAGAGAUAGGGCUUUUUUUUUUUUUUUUUCCA